rnacentral:rRNA from 1 species
GGAGGUAGUGACAAUAAAUCUCAAUACGAAGCCUUUGGUUUUGUAAUUGAAUUGAGAACAAUGUACAAUCGUUAUCGAUAAACAAUUGGAGGGCAAGUCUGGUGCCAGCAGCCGCGGUAAUUCCAGCUCCAAUAGCGUAUAUUAACGUUGUUGCAGUUAAAAAGCUCGUAGUUGAAGUUUAGAUAAUUUAUUGAAAGUGUUUGUAUUCGUACAUUCUACUUUUAUGUAAGUUAUCGACAUCCAGGUGGGUGCUCUGAUUCCUUCGGGGGUUAGGGUACUAGACUGGUCAUUUACUGUGAGAAAAUUAGAGUGUUUAAAGCAGACUUUCUAAAUAGUUUGAAUAGAUUAGCAUGGAAUAAUAAGAUUGGCUUUCAUAGUCGAUUUUUUGGUUUGUUUAUGAAAGCAAGAUUAAUAGGGACAGUUGGGGGUAUUCAUAUUCAAUAGCUAGAGGUGAAAUUCUAUGAUUUAUGGAAGAUGAACAAGUGCGAAAGCA